UAUAACGAUCUUGAGAAUAAGAGAUGUGGCUGUCAUUAUUGUCUGGUAUUUUCUCCAGUAUCUGUCUCGCUAUGGCGCUGGCGUUGGUCGCCGUCGUAGUAAACUCUGCCAGAACCACGGAUCCCCUAGCCACCAGCGCGUAUAAGAUCGCCAUAUUAGGGAUCUAACAAUCAAUUGAAAGGUGUUUUGAUCGAUCAAUUUCAAUAUUUAAACCUAAUUGAAGACAAAGGGCACAAAAUAAAAAAUUAAAAAAAAUCUCUGCACAAUUGGCUGAAAAGCGAAUUAAAUCGCACGAUUUGGCAAACUUUUGCACUGGGACUGCUUGCAA
rnacentral:misc_RNA from 1 species